rnacentral:tRNA from 1 species
GGAGUUGUGGCUCAGAGGUAGAGCACUUGCCUAUCGUGCAUGAGGCACUGGGUUUGAUCCUCAGCACCA